UACAGAGGAGCCAAGCGUUGUCCGGAUUGACUGGGCGUAAAGCGCACGCAGGCGGGGGGGGGGGGGGGGGGGGAAAUCUGGCCGCUUAACGGCCAGGCGCCAUCCCAUACGGCACGCCUGGAGUGAUGCAGAGGUCGAUGGAAUUGCCGGUGUAGUGGUGAAAUGCGUAGAGAUCGGCAGGAACACCCAGGGGGAAACCAGUCGACUGGGCAUCUACUGACGCUGAGGUGCGAGAGCGUGGGGAGCGAACCGG
rnacentral:rRNA from 1 species